rnacentral:tRNA from 1 species
GAAUGUGGCUCAGUGGUAGAGUGCUUGCCUGGCAUGCAUGAGGCCCUGGGUUCAGUUCCAGCACA